AUUGAACGCUGGCGGCAGGCCUAACACAUGCAAGUCGAGCGGAUGAAGGGAGCUUGCUCCUGGAUUCAGCGGCGGACGGGUGAGUAAUGCCUAGGAAUCUGCCUGGUAGUGGGGGAUAACGUCCGGAAACGGGCGCUAAUACCGCAUACGUCCUGAGGGAGAAAGUGGGGGAUCUUCGGACCUCACGCUAUCAGAUGAGCCUAGGUCGGAUUAGCUAGUUGGUGGGGUAAAGGCCUACCAAGGCGACGAUCCGUAACUGGUCUGAGAGGAUGAUCAGUCACACGGGAAGUGAGACACGGUCCAGACGACUAAGGGAGGCAGCAGUGGGGAAUAUUGGACAAUGGGCGAAAGCCUGAUCCAGCCAUGCCGCGUGUGUGAAGAAGGUCUUCGGAUUGUAAAGAACUUUAAGUUGGGAGGAAGGGCAGUAAGUUAAUACCUUGCUGUUUUGACGUUACCAACAGAAUAAGCACCGGCUAACUUCGUG
rnacentral:rRNA from 1 species